ACGGAAGGUUCGGGCGUUAUCCGGAUUUAUUGGGUUUAAAGGGAGCGUAGGCCGUGGAUUAAGUGUGUUGUGAAAUGUAGGCGCUCAACGUCUGACUUGCAGCGCAUACUGGUCCACUUGAGUGCGCACAACGCGGGCGGAAUUUGUCGUGUAGCGGUGAAAUGCUUAGAUAUGACGAAGAACCCCGAUUGCGAAGGCAGCUCGCGGGAGCGCAACUGACGCUGAAGCUCGAAAGUGCGGGUAUCGAACAG
rnacentral:rRNA from 1 species